UUUGCACAUUUUUCUUCAUAAUGAUCUCAUUGGCUGGUGGUUGCACGUCGCUAGGCAGCACCUCACCACCAGCGUGAGGGUACCAGUGCCACCUCAGCUGCGCACGAGACAGACCAAGCAAGCUCGCAAACUCCUGGCUGCCACUCCUGUCAAAGAAAGAGCUGUUCUAAGGGAAUUGACCCGGUCAUGGAGCUGACAGGGGCUGUACAUCAUGGAACUAAACUGGCUUAUAGGCCAUUCAUCAUGUUCACCAAAGCCAGUAGGGGGGUUCGGGGGCAUCCUCCCCUGGCAAAAUUUAAACAGCUAAAUGCAUGAAUUUGGAGCACUUUGAAAUUAACAUUGAGAGAUUAGAUGUGCAGUAAUUAUAAUCCACAGAGCAGCUUUAAGUGAUACAGUCUGCUGUGUGCUCACUCCUACUCUGCGUCUCUCCAUCACUUUCUCUAUGUCGUCUGUUGCUGUCCCUCGUGUCUGCCCUCUUCUGUUGCGGUCUCUUGUCAUCUUGCCCUGGUUGUAAAAAGUGUAAAAGUUAACAAUUGUUUAAAGAGUAAUUUUAAAGGCUUUUCCACCUCACCUGUAAAUUCUUUGUAAACCAUGUUUUAAUUUUUCACUGUCUGUAUUUCACCUGUUAUAAUUUGUGCAAAUAAAUAAAAUGAAAUAGAAUCUAUAGAACA